rnacentral:rRNA from 1 species
CCUACGGGAGGCAGCAGUAGGGAAUCUUUCACAAUGGGCGAAAGCCUGAUGGAGCAACGCCGCGUGCAGGAUGAAGGCCUUCGGGUUGUAAACUGCUUUUAUAAGCGAGAAAUAUGAUGGUAACUUAUGAAUAAGGAUCGGCUAACUACGUGCCAGCAGCCGCGGUCAUACGUAGGAUCCGAGCAUUAUCCGGAGUGACUGGGUGUAAAGAGUUGCGUAGGUGGCAUAAUAAGUAGCUAGUGAAAUCUGGUGGCUCAACCAUCCAGACUAUUAGCUAAACUGUUAAGCUCGAGACCGUUAGGGGUAACUGGAAUUUCUAGUGUAGGAGUGAAAUCCGUAGAUAUUAGAAGGAACACCAAUAGCGUAGGCAGGUUGCUGGGACGGUUCUGACACUAAGGCACGAAAGCGUAGGGAGCAAACGGGAUUAGAUACCCGUGUAGUC